UCUGUUAUAAAUCUCAUUCAAAGUUGGACAUUGCAAAGCCUUAACAGGGAGCUAAACAGACGUUCACCCAGUCUAUUUUCACUUUUGAUAAUACAGUACCUGGAUGGACCAAAAUACAGUUAGAGCUUAUAGUCAGUGAUGGAGCUGAGGUCUUCUUAAUACUUCAGAGUUGACAAGUACCACUGACACUGACUGAUAAUGUCGUAUGCUGUCAAAAAAAGAAGUCCCUCAGCAGUCCCCUUUCCAGAAACAUUUAUCUUUGUUGGGUGGAACCUACUACUGGAAAUCUAUCGGAGGGUUCUAGUGUUAAAAUAUUAACCCGUACGUCACCAUAACCUGCUUUCUAUAGCAAGGGAUCGUCUUUGUCAGAUAUUUUAAAUGGAGCAGAAGCGGUAGAAGCUUGUGAUUCCCAGCAUUAUCUUAACAGACAUUUUUUUUGCUAAAUUACGGUUUUAUUUAGGGUUGAUUUUUUUUUUUUCCCCCAUGUGACUUUUUUCUGGUACAAUAUUGACAAUCAAAUUAACAAAAUGUACAGUCUACUGUAUAUUGUAGAAAUGAAAGCUAACACAUUAUUUAUAUCACUUAAUCACCCUCCAAAGGUUCCAACAUUUGUUUCCUCAGAGGCCAGAGGUUCUAGGUAGAACUCUUUUCUUUCUGAGGAGAGCCCUUUGGCAACCCCCUCGUGCUGACAUUGUACCCGUUAAACAUAAUUUGCUGAUUUUAAGAGUGGUUGUAACUUUUAGAAAUGGAAUCCUGAAAUGCUUGAAAUCGGCCGAUGUUGUCUUCUUUGGCCCUCUGACUGGUUUCACACUGAAUGAAACGUUAAGGCUUCCAUGAAGUCUCCUCACCGCCUCCUGAAGUGUUACAUUAAUGGCUGACUAGAUCAUUCACAUUACCUCAUCUUUCCUAUAAGGGAAAGAUCCGAUUCUAACAUCCACUACAGUACAUUGUCUCAUUAUGCACAGCUCUGUCUUUAAAAUAAAGGAAAAUAUUUGUUUC